AGUGUUUCCUAUCUAUGAAUCUCUCUCUCUCUCUCUCUCUCUCUCUGUCUUUUCAGCUUCUCUGCUUUUUCUUCUUUGGUGUUUGGGACAUUCUGAGCUGCUGCUGGUGCAAGACGGUCUUGGUUUUUGGGGCUGUACAUAUUACACUGUAGUACUGUCCUUAUAGAGUACAAUGUCUUUUGAGCCACCCUACUCUGGUUGAUGCUCCAGAAAAGAGCUGGAUGGUUGUCUGUGCUCUGUUUAUGUGGAGAUUUUUUGGAUAAGGCUAUUGAAUUAGAUCUCAUAAUUGCUGACAUAUCAGGUCCAAAUCUGGUUGUUGACUUGGUGUACAUUUUAUGGCUUAUCUAUAACCAAGGAGUGUAUUGUAACUCAGAAGUUGGCCUUCAUUUCUGUAUUUUUUUUUUCCUUCGCUUUUCUGUAAGUUUGUUGCAUAACCAUGCCUCCAUGGUGGGGAAAGUCUUCAUCCAAAGAUGCAAGGAAGAAAGCAAACAAGGAAAGCUUCAUUGAUACAAUUACCCGAAAAUUUAUGAGUGCAUCUGAAGAAAAGUGCAACAGUAGAUCAGGAGGCUCUCAGGGACGCAGUAGUGACACUGUUUCAGAAAGAGGAUUUCGAUCCAGGCUGCCUUCAAGAUCACCGUCGCCCUCAACACAAGUGCCACGCUGUCAAAGUUUUGCAGAAAGAUCUCAUGCCCAACCACUUCCACUUCCUGGGGUACACCUUCCUAGUAUUGGGCGUACUAACUCUGGAAUUAUUGCAUCAUCAACGCCAGGAUUUGACAGAGGCUCUAAGCCGCUAUUUUUGCCCCUUCCAAGACCUGGAUGUGUCUCAAACAACAGGGCGGAUCCUGCAGAUACUGAGGCUGAUAUAGCCACUGCUUCUGUUUCUAGUGAUAGCACAACUGAUAGCGACGAUCCAUCCGAUUCACGACUUCUUAGCCCCCUGGCUUCUGACUAUGAAAAUGGAAACAAAACCACUGCCAACAGCCCUUCGAGUGUAAUGCACAAGGAUCAAUACCCUGUUGCCAAUCAAAAGAACUCAAGAGAGAUGUUGAAACCAGCUAAUCUUUUAUUCAACAAUCAAAUUCCCUCUACAUCACCUAAACGGAGACCUUUAAGUGCGCAUGUGCAAAAUUUACAGAUUCCUCCCCACAGUGCUUUCUGUAGUGCUCCAGACAGCUCGAUGUCAAGUCCUUCUAGAAGUCCGAUGAGAGUGUUUGGGCCUGAGCAAGUUAUGAGCUAUGGUUACUGGACAGGAAAAUCUUAUCCAGAGAUAGCUUCUGGCCAGUGCUCUAGUCCAGGUUCAGGUUAUAAUUCUGGGCAUAAUUCAGUAGGGGGGGAUAUGACGGGACAGCUGUUUUGGCCACACAGCAGGUGUAGUCCUGAGUGUUCUCCAAUUCCUAGUCCCAGAAUGACAAGUCCAGGUCCCAGCUCCAGAAUACACAGUGGUGCUGUCACCCCUCUGCAUCCACGAGCUGGAGGAGCUGCCACUGAUUCGCCUACAACCCGGCCUGAUGAUGGGAAACAACAAAGCCACCGUUUGCCCCUUCCUCCAUUAACAAUUUCAAAUUCUUGUUCUUUUUCUCCCACAUAUACAUCAGCUACAACUUCCCCGGUUCCACGCAGUCCUGGCAGGGCAGAAAAUCCUACAAGCCCUGGUUCUCGCUGGAAGAAGGGACGUCUGCUGGGGAGGGGUACAUUUGGACAUGUAUAUCUUGGUUUUAACAGUGAAAGUGGCGAGAUGUGUGCUAUGAAAGAGGUAACUCUGUUUUCAGACGAUGCAAAAUCAAAGGAAAGCGCACAGCAGCUGGGGCAAGAAAUUGCGCUGCUAAGUCGCUUGAGGCACCCAAAUAUAGUACAGUAUUAUGGAUCUGAGAGUGUAGAUGACAAACUAUACAUAUAUCUAGAGUAUGUAUCUGGUGGUUCCAUCUAUAAACUGCUUCAAGACUAUGGUCAGUUUGGUGAAAUUGCUAUUCGCAGUUAUACUCAACAAAUUUUGUCAGGGCUUGCAUAUCUACAUAAUAAACACACUGUCCAUAGGGACAUCAAAGGAGCAAAUAUUCUGGUAGACCCCAGUGGCAGGGUGAAAUUGGCAGAUUUUGGGAUGGCAAAGCAUAUUACUGGGCAGUCUUGUCCUUUGUCAUUCAAGGGAAGCCCCUACUGGAUGGCACCUGAGGUUAUCAAGAAUUCAAAUGGUUGUAAUCUUGCUGUUGAUAUAUGGAGUCUUGGGUGCACUGUUAUAGAGAUGGCUACAACAAAACCACCGUGGAGCCAGUAUGAAGGGGUUGCUGCUUUGUUUAAGAUUGGAAACAGCAGGGAACUUCCUCCAAUUCCUGAUCAUCUAUCAGAGGAUGGAAAGGAUUUUGUGAGGCUGUGUUUACAGCGCAAUCCAAUACAGCGUCCUAAUGCUGCUCAGCUUUUGGAGCAUGCUUUUGUUAAGAAUGCUGCGCCACUGGUAAGACCCGUUUUGAGUGCUGAUCCUUCUGAUGCACCACCUGUGGUUACAAAUUCAGUGAGAUUUCUGGGCAUUGGAAAUGCACGAAGUCCUUCAUGCGUAGACUCAGAAGGAGUGGGUAUCCAUCAGUCUAGAGGCUCAAAAGCUGGUUCAGGAUCCAGUGAUGCCCAUGCGUUAAGGAAUAAAUCAUGCCCAGUUUCUCCCAGGAGCCCUCUUCUACAUUCAAGGUCACCACAACAUACAAGCGGAAGGACAUCUCCGUCUCCCAUUUCUAGCCCUCGCACUGCAUCUGGUUCAUCCACACCCCGUGCUGGUGGUAGUGGUGCCAUCCCAUUUCAUCACCCACAGCAACCAGCAACCUACGUGCAUGAGGGUGUAGCAAUGAUACAAAGAAGCCAAAACAGUUUCUAUGCUAAUGGCAGCACCCCCUAUGUCGAGCCAAACCCUGACCUAUCAAGGGGGAUGUCACAAGCUUCUUAUGCCUUCCGUGAUAUAAUUUCAUCUGAUAAUGGUGCUCUUGGAAACCUACCAGGACGGCCUCUCCGAGGGGACACCAGGGAAUUGUACGAUAAGCAGGUCUUAACAAUGGAACACUUAAAGCAAAAUUCUUCCUUGGAACUUAAGCCCAGCUCACCAAUGCUUGGUCGUAACAAUGGAAUCUGAUUUACAUGUGAAUACCUGACAAGAGCAAGAUUCCGGGCCAUGUAAGAUUCUUUCCAAUGCUUGAAGGGCAUCAUAUUCAUGGCCGAUAUCACAAAUUUGUACUUUAGCAAUUCAAGUUGGGGAAGUAAUUGAAUAAGUUUGGAUCUUUUGGAAGCCUAAAUGAUGGGGGAGAGACAUGAUAUUCUAAUUCCCUCAGUACUCAGGUUGAUUAGUUCAGAUGGAAAAAAAAAAAAAAAAAAGAUGGUCUCUGAAGAUCCAACAGUCGGCAGUUCCUUACAAUGAAGAACAUUUCUGCAUGUGUAAAGAAAUGUACAUUUUUACCACACCUGAAAAACAGAAAAGGUAUAACAGCAAUUAUGAUAUGGACCAUGAAUAUUUUUUGCAUUGUUCUCUUUUGGAAGGGGUGAUUGGUGGUGGCAGCAGCAAAGAAUCUUUUGUACAGAAGGAUGGGGGAUUAAAUUAGUCAAGAUUUUGUAAAGAUGGCAGGUGAGAAAUUUGCCAGGCUUGUAUCAGCUAAUGGGCUGUAAUGCUGAUACUGUUGUAACUACAUUAUACCUACAUCUAAUUGAAGAAAUCUAGUUCAUAUUCUA